rnacentral:tRNA from 1 species
GGAUGGGUGGCAGAGUGGUCGAAUGCACCGGUCUUGAAAACCGGCGUGGGUGCAAGCUCACCGUGGGUUCGAAUCCCACCCCAUCCGCCA